GUUGGCCCAAUAACGGCUUACCAAGGCAAUGAUGCAUAGCCGAGUUGAGAGACUGAUCGGCCACAUUGGGACUGAGACACGGCCCAAACUCCUACGGGAGGCAGCAGUAGGGAAUCUUCCACAAUGGACGCAAGUCUGAUGGAGCAACGCCGCGUGAGUGAAGAAGGUUUUCGGAUCGUAAAGCUCUGUUGUUGGUGAAGAAGGAUAGAGGUAGUAACUGGCCUUUAUUUGACGGUAAUCAACCAGAAAGUCACGGCUAACUACGUGCCAGCAGCCGCGGUAAUACGUAUGUGGCAAGCGUUGUCCGGAUUUAUUGGGCGUAAAGCGAGCGCAGGCGGAAGAAUAAGCCCGAUGUGAAAGCCCUCGGCUUAACCGAGGAACUGCAUCGGAAACUGUUUUUCUUGAGUGCAGAAGAGGAGAGUGGAAUUCCAUGUGUAGCGGUGGAAUGCGUAGAUAUAUGGAAGAACACCAGUGGCGAAGGCGACUCUCUGGUCUGCAACUGACGCUGAGGCUCGAAAGCAUGGGUAGCGAACAGGAUUAGAUACCCUGGUAGUCCAAACCGUAAACGAUGAGUGCUAAGUGUUGGGAGGUUUCCGCCUCUCAGUGCUGCAGCUAACGCAUUAAGCACUCCGCCUGGGGAGUACGACCGCAAGGUUGAAACUCAAAGGAAUUGACGGGGGCCCGCACAAGCGGUGGAGCAUGUGGUUUAAUUCGAACCAACGCGAAGAACCUUACCAGGUCUUGACAUCUAGUGCCAUCCUAAGAGAUUAGGAGUUCCCU
rnacentral:rRNA from 1 species